UCCAGUUCCCCUUACCCUUGCUAGAAGGUUGUGUGCGUUUUGCUACAAACCAGAGUAUGAUUUUGGUCAGACUCCUGAGUUUGACAGUAUCCGGUUGGACUGCUGUGUUCACUCAGACCAUGGUAGGAAUGAUGAAUAUCUGUGGCUGCCACCUUCUCACAUAACAGGAGUACUGCAGGCUUGGAUUCAGAGUAGGGCAGAGUACUUGUGGCAAGAUAUAGAACUUCCAGAGAUAAAGGAAGGACCUCCAAUGGCUUGAGAGAAAACAUGAAGAAUUAGUAGGAGCAGAAGUUGCAACAUGUGAGAGCUAGGUAGAGACUUGCUGGAGCAGACUUUGAAAUUCAGGUCUUUUGUUCAUGGAAACAACUGCAGAAAAAGACACUUAAGCCCAGGAAUCCUGUUCCACUCUUUCAUCAUCAGAAGAGUGAUGUUACUAAAGCUUUAUUAAAGCAGCCACGGAUUUUUCCCAACAAGUGAAGCUCAGAACCACAAACAUGAAAUGAUUUUAAGAACUGGGUUGAAACCUGCUCUAGUGAAUAUUUCUGACAGCCUUAAAAGGCAUUAAACAUCUCUCUGUGGUGUGCAGUGAAGUCUUCUGGAGUAUCACCAGCAAAUAGAAAAACUCUUUAUUAUAUUUUCUCAAAAUAUUCUUAAGGGCUUCAUGUGGACAUUCCUGCAACAUUACUGAAAUGAAAAUUUAUGCGUAGAAAAAUGUGCUAUACCUAUAAGGCUACUCUGGGAAAGUAAAGAGGAAAAUGUAAUAUCUGAUCUGAGGGUAGAAGAAUGAAAAGUGACUCUUUAAGAACUUGUGCUUGUUUUUAGAAAUAUAAAAUUAUUUUACUGUUUCUUGGCUGGAAUUCUAAAUAUCAAAGUAAACUUUAAACUGUAAAUCUCUGUGUAUUUAUGGAAAAAUUUAAUUCAUUGAACAAAGCAAGAAAUUAUUCAUAGUUGAAGCUUUUUUAAAGAGAAUUUUACUGAACAGUUUUUAGUGAAAAUGAUAAAAUAUACUUUGUCAGCUUAUGUGAAGAAAAUUGAAGACAUUUUGUUCUGAAAACUUGUAGCUGGCCUUUUUCAUUCUUCAAAUAGAUAUUACUAUAAUUCAUGUGUAUGUGAAGUGAAUGUAACGAUAAGUCUAUGCAACUGUUAUUUCAAUUAAACAUAAUGUUCUCUUAAAGUGGAUAAUUAUCAACAUUGUUUUGUAGAUGCUACUGUUUUAUUUUGCACUGUCACAAUAAUUUUCUUUGCCUAUUUUUCACUGCUUUUUUUCUAAAAACGUUUUGUCAAAAGUGACAUUUUUAUGCCUCAUGCAACUAUUGUACAUCAUCCUGUGGUUGGAAAACAGUGGAAGACAGGUGUGAACUGAUCAUCCUUGAGCAAUUCUGCCAUUCAGUAUAAAAUAUAGGUAUUACAGUUGCAAAUUCUACACAUUUUUAAAAAGUACUGGCUACACAUUUGUGUCUCAGACCUUAAAAGGAACAUUUGCUUUGGGUUUGUCAAUCUUUCUUUUGUAUUUGUUUUUAAUAGAUUUUCAUGUGCAUGGAAUGGUCCAGGAUUGGUACAUCACAGGCCUGAGUAUUCACAAGUGGAGAGGUACAUAUUCAUAGAGUAAGACUACCAAGACAGAGGGACAACACACUUCUUAGGACCAGUUCUUAAAUUCAAUCACUGGGACUGCAGAAAUAACAGGAUGACAUUCCUUCCUCCUUGACUGGCAAAAAUAUCUCUUUAAAGAAGUCACCAAGUUAAAAUAUCAUCUUAACACUCACAGACCUUUUUCUUGCCUUGGUUCUCGUCAUGUACAUGUGUACCCAUGCAUGUAUACGUGCACAAAAACCCAAUCCUACACUCAUUCUUCUUACUUUCUGCAGCUGCUCAGUUAUGGCCUUAGCAAACUCUAGAGCAAAGGAAUCCAGAGUUGCAGUUGUUGCAGGUCCCUCGAACAAAAGACUCUCAUAUAACCCAAUAGGCCCCAGUUCUUGUGUACAGAUAUUGAUCAUUGCUAAUCUUUGUGUCCAGUCUCAAGAUUCAGAGGUCAGUUCUUCCAAACUCAAAACAUACCUCCCACUUUACUGUGUGUAUAAACAGAUAACUGACAAAUAAGGUAAUGUUGCCCUUUUCCUUCUCUGAUAAAGCCAUAUCAUUGUAUUGCAUGGGGAAUAAAAUAAAGUAACUGCGUUAUCUGCCAUUAUUACUUGUUACCUGAUUUACUGCUUAUAAUUUACAUGAUUAUGUCUAGAUAAAUUAAAUGAAUGAUUAAAACAGCAAGUUAAGUGAGCCAGCUGAAGGGGUGCAAUCACUAUUAAUUAAAAAAGAUAAUGGAAUUCACUGGAAUAAUUACUUUUUCUUUUCUAAUGAAAUGUUUUUCUUUUCUUUCCUCUUAUUUUUCUUUCUGAUGUUGGCAAUACCUUACUUAAAUAUUCUUGAAGAAUGUUGUUUGUUUUUAAAUUGAAUAAACAAACACAAAUGGUA